rnacentral:rRNA from 1 species
UGCAAGUCGAGCGGCAGCGGGAGGUGCUUGCACCUCGCCGGCGAGCGGCGGACGGGUGAGUAAUGCAUAGGAAUCUGCCCGGUAGUGGGGGAUAACCUGGGGAAACCCAGGCUAAUACCGCAUACGUCCUACGGGAGAAAGCAGGGGAUCUUCGGACCUUGCGCUAUCGGAUGAGCCUAUGCCGGAUUAGCUGGUUGGUAGGGUAAUGGCCUACCAAGGCAACGAUCCGUAGCUGGUCUGAGAGGAUGAUCAGCCACACUGGGACUGAGACACGGCCCAGACUCCUACGGGAGGCAGCAGUGGGGAAUAUUGGACAAUGGGCGAAAGCCUGAUCCAGCCAUGCCGCGUGUGUGAAGAAGGCUUUCGGGUUGUAAAGCACUUUCAGUGGGGAAGAAAGCCUGUCGGUUAAUACCCGACAGGAACGACAUCACCCACAGAAGAAGCACCGGCUAACUCCGUGCCAGCAGCCGCGGUAAUACGGAGGGUGCGAGCGUUAAUCGGAAUUACUGGGCGUAAAGCGCGCGUAGGCGGCGUGAUAAGCCGGUUGUGAAAGCCCCGGGCUCAACCUGGGAACGGCAUCCGGAACUGUCGCGCUAGAGUGCAGGAGAGGAAGGUAGAAUUCCCGGUGUAGCGGUGAAAUGCGUAGAGAUCGGGAGGAAUACCAGUGGCGAAGGCG